GACGAACGCUGGCGGCGUGCUUAACACAUGCAAGUCGAACGGAAAGGCCCUGCUUUUGUGGGGUGCUCGAGUGGCGAACGGGUGAGUAACACGUGAGUAACCUGCCCUUGACUUUGGGAUAACUUCAGGAAACUGGGGCUAAUACCGGAUAGGAGCUCCUGCUGCAUGGUGGGGGUUGGAAAGUUUCGGCGGUUGGGGAUGGACUCGCGGCUUAUCAGCUUGUUGGUGGGGUAGUGGCUUACCAAGUCUUUGACGGGUAGGCGGCCUGAGAGGGUGACCGGCGUCAAGGGGACUAAGAGACGGACCAGACGCGAACGGGAGGCAGCGGGGGAGAAUAUGGCACAAUGGGCGGGAGCCUGAGACAGCAGCCCCGCGUGUGGGAUGACCGCUUGCUGGGUGUAAACCGCUGUCGCCUGUGACGAAGCGUGUGUGACGGUAAUGGGUGAAGAAGCACCGGCUAACUACGUG
rnacentral:rRNA from 1 species